rnacentral:rRNA from 1 species
CCUACGGGAGGCAGCAGUGGGGAAUUUUGGACAAUGGGCGAAAGCCUGAUCCAGCCAUGCCGCGUGCAGGAUGAAGGCCUUCGGGUUGUAAACUGCUUUUGUACGGAACGAAAAGACUCUGGUUAAUACCUGGGGUCCAUGACGGUACCGUAAGAAUAAGCACCGGCUAACUACGUGCCAGCAGCCGCGGUAAUACGUAGGGUGCAAGCGUUAAUCGGAAUUACUGGGCGUAAAGCGUGCGCAGGCGGUUAUAUAAGACAGAUGUGAAAUCCCCGGGCUCAACCUGGGAACUGCAUUUGUGACUGUAUAGCUAGAGUACGGUAGAGGGGGAUGGAAUUCCGCGUGUAGCAGUGAAAUGCGUAGAUAUGCGGAGGAACACCGAUGGCGAAGGCAAUCCCCUGGACCUGUACUGACGCUCAUGCACGAAAGCGUGGGGAGCAAACAGGAUUAGAUACCCUGGUAGUCCACGCCCUAAACGAUGUCACUGGUUGUUGGUCUUCACUGACUCAGUAACGAAGCUAACGCGUGAAGUUGACCGCGUGGGGAGGUACGGCCGCGAGUAGAACGUACGAAGAGUAGUAGCGNGAGAGAGCGACGACGACGACGAGGAGGAGG